AUACAGAGGGUGCAAGCGUUAAUCGGAAUUACUGGGCGUAAAGCGCGCGUAGGUGGAUUGACAAGUCGGAUGUGAAAUCCCUGGGCUCAACCUGGGAAUUGCAUUCGAAACUGUCGGUCUGGAGUAGGGUAGAGGCAAGUGGAAUUUCAGGUGUAGCGGUGAAAUGCGUAGAGAUCUGAAGGAACAUCAGUGGCGAAGGCGGCUUGCUGGACUCAUACUGACACUGAGGUGCGAAAGCGUGGGUAGCAAACAGGAUUAGAAACCCUAGUAGUCC
rnacentral:rRNA from 1 species